rnacentral:rRNA from 1 species
GACGAACGCUGGCGGCGUGCUUAACACAUGCAAGUCGAACGAUGAAGCCCAGCUUGCUGGGUGGAUUAGUGGCGAACGGGUGAGUAACACGUGAGUAGCCUGCCCCUGACUCUGGGAUAAGCGUUGGAAACGACGUCUAAUACUGGAUAUGACUACUGGUCGCAUGGCCUGGUGGUGGAAAGAUUUUUUGGUUGGGGAUGGACUCGCGGCCUAUCAGCUUGUUGGUGAGGUAAUGGCUCACCAAGGCGACGACGGGUAGCCGGCCUGAGAGGGUGACCGGCCACACUGGGACUGAGACACGGCCCAGACUCCUACGGGAGGCAGCAGUGGGGAAUAUUGCACAAUGGGCGAAAGCCUGACGCAGCAACGCCGCGUGAGGGAUGACGGCCUUCGGGUUGUAAACCUCUUUUAGUAGGGAAGAAGCGAAAGUGACGGUACCUGCAGAAAAAGCACCGGCUAACUACGUGCCAGCCGCCGCCGUAA